CAAGUGGGAGUGCAUCACUUGCUCUGUUUUUCUUCUUUUUCCUGACAUCUGCCUUUGGUUGUGGUUGAAGGCAGGCUCCUGACUGAGGAAGGCAGAACUGAUCAGGUCCAAGCAGCACCAAGAGCUCGCUGAAGCUUAGCUCUGUACCAGCCAGUCUGUGGUCCCCAUCUGACAGUGCCAUGCCUCUGACUAAAGGAAUCUCAUCAAGUCAAGUCAUAAAGACCCAUCACAGCAAGCUCCUGAGAAGUCACAUCUCCAUGCCUGAUGAAGGGAAAAGCAUCUGGCCUAGCCACAGCUGGUAGGGCAGAAAUGUCUAGACUGGCUGAUGUUAAGAAAAUCUUUGGAUGACUGCUUGGCGAAGACCAGCAGGAAGAUGUGAGCUUUAACCUUCCUCCGCACUAAGAAGUACCUUCAUGGCAUUGCCUUGCACCAGGUGAAAACUUGGCCCAAAGAUUAAGUGAUUUGCUGGCCUUCAGAAAAUGUGAAGCAGAGACAGGCGAUGAACCCAAGUCACCCGGCAUCCUGUUAGAUCUUCUCUUACCCAAACUGCCAGCCUGCCUUGUGGGAAACUCAGCAAGAAACAUGGCUAAUGAGCCUGCCCAAGUGCCUGGAAGAAUGACUCUGCUGCUAAACAGCAAGUAAUUCUUUAGAUUUAAGAAAUAGCAUAACUUGUAAGGAGGAAGUUUACAAAAUAUGUCAUCUGAAGACACUGCCAUGUUUAAUGCAUUUGGUGCCAAUGAUUUGCUUUCCCUUGCUAUGCUGUUUACAGAGCAGCUGGUGCAGAGCUGUUGAGCUUGCUAUUGAAGAUGAAAGGCUGGUUGUUUUUCAAAGCCCUUUGUGUUUUUUUACUCCUAACUGGAGCUG